AGUAGGAUAAUUGGGUCAAAUGGUUCCAGUCUAGUGUUUUGAGGAAUCUCCAUACUGUUUUCCAUAGUGGUUGCAUCAAUUUGCAGUCCCACCAGCAAU
rnacentral:pre_miRNA from 1 species